AUGCCGAACACAAGUGCAAAUGGAGAGACCGAUGGAGGAACAGCAUCCCAUGGGUCCACAAAAGCAAUAUCUGCCAAGAUAAAGCCGCUGGAAAUUGUCGCUGGAGCGAACAUGGCUGAACGCUGGGAGGUCUGGAAGGCUAAAUUCGAAAUAUUCAUGUGUGCAACAACGUGUGAUGGAGAAUCAGAUGCAAGAAGAAAUUGUCUGCUAUUACAAUUUCUUGGGGAUGAUGCAUAUAGCAUAUACGCAUCAUUCAAUAAGAAGUACAACGAACUCACACAUAAGCAACUCAUAGAAUUGUUUGAUGCACAUUUCAAGCCAGAAAAGAAUGUGGAAAUGGCUUUAUAUAAAUUAAUAACCAGAAAACAAAAAGAAGAUGAAACAUUGGAUGAGUUCGUCACAAGUUUGAAGAAUUUAAGCCUGGCCUGUAACCUAGACAAUCAAAGGGAUAAAAUUGUCAAAGCAAUUAUGAUUGCAAAUUUGCUUCCAAAGUUUGAAGAGGUGAGAAUCCAAAUAUUGAUGAAGCAGGAUGAAACAUUGGAGAAUGCCAUCAAAAUCAUCAAAACAUUCGAUGCAUCAAGGCGUCAGGUGCAGGAGAUGGAUGCAACUGAACCUGUGGUAGGCAAGAUCAGCAGACGUUAUCAAGAUGAUGCUCGGCAAAGUACAGAGCAGCGCAGUCAUCAAAGAACUAACAACAGUGCUAAGCAGUAUGCGAGUGGUCCAAAGCACAAGGGACAAUCAAGUCGGCGGUACGGUUCUUCUAAGGUGCAAGCCGAUGACUCGAGAAGAACGGGAAACUACAGUAGGUGCAAAAACUGUGGAAAUACCAAACAUUAUUCUGGAAGGUGCCCUGCCAUUGGGAGAAAAUGUGACAAUUGCAAUGGGUCAAAUCACUUCUCAAGAGUGUGCAAGUAUGCUGAGCGAAAAGUGAGACUGGUGGAUGAGGAGUCGACUGAUAGCAACGAUUACUAUUCGGAAGAUGAUGGUCCUGAGCUAUUCAUUGGUGCGAUCGAAUCCAAGCAGGAGGACGAUCAGUGA
rnacentral:lncRNA from 1 species